rnacentral:rRNA from 1 species
UUGAACGCUGGCGGAAUGCUUUACACAUGCAAGUCGAGCGGCAGCGCGGGGCAACCUGGCGGCGAGCGGCGAACGGGUGAGUAAUAUAUCGGAACGUACCCUGUCGUGGGGGAUAACACAUCGAAAGAUGUGCUAAUACCGCAUACGACCUGAGGGUGAAAGCGGGGGAUCGCAAGACCUCGCGCGAUAGGAGCGGCCGAUAUCGGAUUAGCUAGUUGGUGGGGUAAAGGCUCACCAAGGCGACGAUCCGUAGCGGGUCUGAGAGGACGACCCGCCACACUGGAACUGAGACACGGUCCAGACUCCUACGGGAGGCAGCAGUGGGGAAUUUUGGACAAUGGGGGCAACCCUGAUCCAGCCAUUCCGCGUGAGUGAAGAAGGCCUUCGGGUUGUAAAGCUCUUUCAGCAGGAGCGAAACGGUCGUUUUUAAUACAGACGGCUAAUGACGGUACCUGCAGAAGAAGCACCGGCUAACUACGU